rnacentral:rRNA from 1 species
ACGGAAGGCAGCAGUGGGGGAUAUUGCACAAUGGGGGAAACCCUGAUGCAGCGACGCCGCGUGAGUGAUGAAGUAUUUCGGUAUGUAAAGCUCUAUCAGCAGGAAAGAUAAUGACGGUACCUGACUAAGAAGCACCGGCUAAAUACGUGCCAGCAGCCGCGGUAAUACGUAUGGUGCAAGCGUUAUCCGGAUUUACUGGGUGUAAAGGGAGCGCAGACGGCAUGGCAAGCCAGAUGUGAAAGGCAGGGGCUCAACUCCUGGACUGCAUUUGGAACUGUCAAGCUAGAGUAUCGGAGAGGUAAGUGGAAUUCCUAGUGUAGCCGUGAAAUGCGUAGAUAUUAGGAGGAACACCAGUGGCGAAGGCGGCUUACUGGACGAUAACUGACGUUGAGGCUCGAAAGCGUGGGGAGCAAGCAGGAUUAGAUACCCUGGUA